UACGUAGGUCCCGAGCGUUGUCCGGAUUUAUUGGGCAUAAAGCGAGCGCAGGUGGUUUAUUAAGUCUGGUGUAAAAGGCAGUGGCACAACCAUUGUAUGCAUUGGAAACUGAUAGACUUGAGUGCAGGAGAGGAGAGUGGAAUUCCAUGUGUAGCGGUGAAAUGCGUAGAUAUAUGGAGGAACACCGGUGGCGAAAGCGGCUCUCUGGCCUAUAACUGACACUGAGGCUCGAAAGCGUGGGGAGCAAACAGG
rnacentral:rRNA from 1 species